rnacentral:rRNA from 1 species
UACCAGCACCCCGAGUGGUCGGGACGGAUUAUUGGGCCUAAAGCAUCCGUAGCCGGUUUUACAAGUCCUCCGUUAAAUCCAGCUGCUUAACAGAUGGGCUGCGGAGGAUACUAUAAGACUAGGAGGCAGGAGAGGCAAGCGGUACUCAGUGGGUAGGGGUAAAAUCCGUUGAUCCAUUGAAGACCACCAGUGGCGAAGGCGGCUUGCCAGAAUGCGCUCGACGGUGAGGGAUGAAAGCUGGGGGAGCAAACCGG